UUCUGAGAAGAUGGCGAAGGUCUCAGAGCUUUACGAUGUCACUUGGGAAGAAAUGAGAGAUAAAAUGAGAAAAUGGAGAGAAGAAAACUCACGAAACAGUGAGCAAAUUGUGGAAGUUGGAGAGGAAUUAAUUAAUGAAUAUACUUCUAAGCUUGGAGAUGAUAUUUGGAUCAUAUAUGAGCAAGUGAUGAUUGCAGCCCUAGACUAUGGUCGAGAUGACUUGGCAUUGUUUUGUCUUCAGGAGUUGAGAAGACAGUUCCCUGGCAGUCACAGAGUCAAGAGACUAACUGGCAUGAGAUUUGAGGCCAUGGAAAGAUAUGAUGAUGCUAUACAACUAUAUGAUAGAAUUUUACAAGAAGAUCCAACUAUCACUGCUGCAAGAAAGCGUAAGAUUGCCGUUCGAAAAGCCCAGGGGAAAAAUGUGGAGGCCAUUCGGGAACUGAAUGAGUAUCUGGAACAAUUUUUUGGGGACCAAGAAGCUUGGCAUGAACUUGCAGAACUUUAUAUCAAUGAACAUGACUAUGCUAAAGUAGCCUUUUGUUUAGAGGAGCUAAUGAUGACUAAUCCACACAACCACUUAUACUGUCAGCAGUAUGCUGAAGUUAAAUAUACCCAGGGUGGACUUGAAAACCUUGAACUUUCAAGAAAGUAUUUUGCUCAGGCACUGAAACUGAACAACAGAAAUAUGAGAGCUUUGUUUGGGUUUUACAUGUCGGCAAGUCAUAUUGCUUCUAAUCCAAAAGCAAGUGCAAAAACAAAAAAGGACAACAUGAAAUAUGCUAGUUGGGCAGCUAGUCAAAUAAACAGAGCUUAUCAGUUUGCAGGUCUAAGUAAGAAGGAAACCAAAUACUCUCUUAAGGCAGUCGAAGACAUGUUGGAAACACUGCAGAACACCCAACCUUAAGGUUUCAAACUCUUUCACAUUACAUUUCACAACUGCACAAUUGAACUUACUGGCCUGUGACUACUAAAUGCCUGGUGCUAUUUAUAUUCUAAUUUUUUGUUAAGAGGGCAUUUGUAAAGAAUGUUUAUAUAGACCUAAAAAUGCCUUUUAUUGCUAAGCAGGAAGAUGGAGAAAGUCCACAGAAGAGAGAUUUAACAAGAUUCAUAUUGAUUGUACAUCAUUCUCUUCAUAUCACACAUAUAUAACUUCUUUUAAACCACAACCUGAUGUAGAAAUCCCAUAAAUAAAUCAU